AAGUCAGAUGUGGAAGCCUCCUGUUCAACGGGAGAAUUGCAUCUGAAACUACUGAUCUUGAGCGUAGGAGGGGAGAAUGGAACUUCUGGUGGAGCGGUGAAAUGCGUAGAUAUCAGAAGGAACGCCGGCGGCGAAAGCGACUCUCUGGCCUAUUACUGACACUCAGUGUGCGAAAGCUAGGGGAGCAAACGGGAUUAGAUACCCCGGUAGUCCUAGCUGUAAACGAU
rnacentral:rRNA from 1 species